CUUAGUGAUAUUAAACGCAAGAAUAUUUAAAAAGGAUGUCUGCACGUGGAAAGAGAAAAGCAAAGUCUAGAGAUAAAUACGUGUGAAUGUUCUGUUCCAAAUGACAUCUUCUUGAGAAAAAAGGCCUUUUCGAAAAUGGGCGUUGCUUCGCUAUCUGUGGAUUUGUUGUGUUUAAGUACAAUUUACGCCAAUGAUGUGUAUUUGGUUGAUUUUUUCAGUUGAUUUCUUCGGUAUUUCCAAUCUUUUUAAAAAAUGAACUCAUAACAGUAUUUCCCAGACUAGUUCGUUUCGUUUUUAUAAUAAUACGAACAAUCAUAUUUAUAAAUAGAUCAUUGAAAAAUAAUGCUUCUAAGGGAUACAGUGGGAUACAAUUAGUUAUUACCCAUGCGAUACACAAUUAUCCCGCGUAUAAAAUGUUUGUUUAUUUAUCGUGUGUGAGAUCGUAGUAAUAUACUGAAAAGUCGCAUUUUUGCUUUUCAUUACUUCAAGAAGAGCAAUUCGCUCAUUUCCUUUGGGUGUGCUAAGGGAGAGGAUUGGAGUAUAUACACCAAAAUGUCUUCUCUUAUUCAGUUAAAACAAUAUUGGCUCGAGUGGCAGCCUACGGACCCGGCAAACAUUAUCGAAUCCCUCAGUGCGGACACCAGCGGAUUGAACGUUAUUCCAUGCAUUCGGUCCCGAUCAGGUAAUCAUUAAUUUUUUUCUGUAUUGCAUUUAAUUAUACAUUGCGUUUGGUUUUGCGUUGCGUUGUGUUUUGCGUUGCGUUGUGUUUCGAUUUCCGUUUCUGUUUGAUAUGAAGCGAGGUUUCUUAAAAUACUACAAAUCUACAACGUGACUUUCAUGCAUAAUUCUUUCUGUAUCGCAUUCUCGGGACUUUAUAAAUCGUGUUUGGUUUUGCGUUGCGUUGCGUUUGGAUUUAUAAUUCUAUAAUUAACAGGGGAGCUAUCGUUUGGUUUAGAAACGAGCGUGGUAUACAACUGAAGUUUCAAUUUAGUAUGGGUAGAUUUAAGCAAAAAGCGAGCCUAUAUACAUCGAUGAAGCGAGCUUUCUUAAGAUACAUCAAAUCCGUUGAUGGUUUUUAAAAUCUUUUAAGUUUAGUGUAAUAUAUAAGUUACUUUUGUGUUCGAAUUUUGAUUAUAUGUUCGGCUAAUUAUUUGGUCUUUAUCUCGCUGCCAAGGCUGACGUGCGGUGCUACGGACAAGUCAGUUUGCACCCAUAGGUCUUGCAGUAAUGAUAAUACCAUCUAUCUAUAUAUUGUUCAAGAAUGAAAUGGUCACGCAAGCAUGGAGUAUGAUUUCGUGAGUUUACUUCGUGAUUAGUGUAACUCCGUUUCAACAUUCCUUGCUUAGUUUUGUGAUAUUUCCUUCACCCGAAAAGCCUCUAAAACUCUAAACCCUAACCCUAACCCUAAC